rnacentral:rRNA from 1 species
AGCGAACGCUGGCGGCAGGCCUAACACAUGCGAGUCGAACGAACUCUUCGGAGUUAGUGGCGGACGGGUGAGUAACACGUGGGAACGUGCCUUUAGGUUCGGAAUAACUUAGGGAAACUUGUGCUAAUACCGAAUGUGCCCUUCGGGGGAAAGAUUUAUCGCCUUUAGAGCGGCCCGCGUCUGAUUAGCUAGUUGGUGAGGUAAAGGCUCACCAAGGCGACGAUCAGUAGCUGGUCUGAGAGGAUGAUCAGCCACAUUGGGACUGAGACACGGCCCAAACUCCUACGGGAGGCAGCAGUGGGGAAUCUUGCGCAAUGGGCGAAAGCCUGACGCAGCCAUGCCGCGUGAAUGAUGAAGGUCUUAGGAUUGUAAAAUUCUUUCACCGGGGACGAUAAUGACGGUACCCGGAGAAGAAGCCCCGGCUAACUUCGUG